AUAUUGCACAAUGGGCGAAAGCCUGAUGCAGCAACGCCGCGUGAGUGAUGAAGGCCUUCGGGUUGUAAAGCUCUGUCUUCUGGGACGAUAAUGACGGUACCAGAGGAGGAAGCCACGGCUAACUACGUGCCAGCAGCCGCGGUAAUACGUAGGUGGCAAGCGUUGUACGGAUUUACUGGGCGUAAAGGAUGCGUAGGCGGAUACUUAAGUCAGGUGUGAAAAUCCCGGGCUUAACUUGGGAACUGCAUUUGAAACUGGGGAGCUAGAGUGCGGGAGAGGAAAGUGGAAUUCCUAGUGUAGCGGUGAAAUGCGUAGAGAUUAGGAAGAACACCAGUGGCGAAGGCGACUUUCUGGACCGUAACUGACGCUGAGGCAUGAAAGCGUGGGGAGCAAACA
rnacentral:rRNA from 1 species